GGGCAGCUCGCAGUGUCGUCGCCGCGCUGCCAUGUCCGACGCGGCACCACCCGAGACUGGUGUGGAGGGAGGGGCGCUGAAGAUUUUGGUCAGGCGUUUUUGCGGGGUGGAGCCGUUGGAUUACCCCAGCCUUCCCAGGUGAAUGGGAGCUCUUCUGCCCAAUGACGUGGCAGGUCAUUUUCCCUCAGGUCCGCAGCAGGGGCAUCUCAGAGAUCAUCUCAAGUAAUGGGGACUGACUUCUGUGAUGAGUGAAAGAAUCCAGAGAGAAAAUUGGGACUCAGAAUUAAGAAGACUUCAGUAUGUUCAUUUCAUGAAAGGACUUCAAAGUUUGCAUUAUGCUUUGUGUGUGUGUGUGUGUGUUGUAUCCAAAUGAAAGAAAACUAGGCAGAGACACAGGCAGAGGGAGAAGCAGGCUCCCCAUGGAGAGCCUGAUGCAGGACUUGAUCUUAGGACCCUGGGAUCACUCCCUGAGCCAAAGGCAGACGCUUAACCACUGAGCCACCCAGGUGCUCCUCAACACCCAUUUUCUUUUUAUAGUUGUUUUGUUAAUAGCAAGAGGAGGGAAGAGUCUUCUGCCCUGGGCACUUUUUGUUACAGGGAAGAGAAAUCUACUUAAGUUGGUUCAUUCAAGUAGCUUGAAUGGUUGAGGGAUAUUGGCUUUAAAAAUACAAACAAGCUUCAUGAAGUCCAAAUAUCACCAGGCCCCCAGAAGAGGCAGUUUGGGAUAGUGAGACUCAGGCUAUUUUCUGUCUCUUGGGGGUUCUGCAGUGGUUUACCUUAUGCCACUGCAUAUACCCAAGGUAGCACCCAAUGUUAACUUUGUACUAUUUAGUGUGACUUCUCAAUUCAAGUACUUUCCCUCUGACUUAGUCCCCCAUUAUCCUAAUUCUAAAUUCCUGACUCAUAAAUUUGAUUAGUUUCAUUUAUCUGUUUCAAGCUUGGAGUUGGUUAUCAUGGGGAUGAACUAGUGAUUCAAUAUAGAAAGAUACUUUAUGUGAAUUAUUCAGAAAAUGAUACAAACUGUGGUAAACCAACUAAGCACUGAAUUAGGAGCUAAGAAACCUGGUUCUAUUGCUCAUUAUGUCUCUGCUUAGUUGUAAAGCCUUCUACAAAAGAAGAAAUCAAAAUAUGAAUUGUUUCCUAAGGUUCCUCUUGCUCUAAAAUUCUAUAAAUCUUCAUUUCAUAAUCUGUUUAUAACAUGUUAGAAUUCCUGAAGUUAUCAAUCAUUUUACAUUGAAUAUGUUGUACCUAGAUUGAUUCCAUAUAGCUUCAGGAACCUUAAAUAUGUUUUGCACAUCUCGCUGUGGAGUUGUUUACUUCUGGGAAUGUUUUUGGUAGACAAUUUAUGAUCUUUGAAUUUUUAUUUUAUAGCUGACAUGGAAGAUUCUAAAAAAAUAGAGAUACCUCUGGAUGAGGUUGCAAUUGAUCAAGAUAUACAGGAGGAGUCUAUUAGAAUGUUUGUUGUUAUUUUGUUAAUGAAUACAUAAGCUCCCCACACAAGUCCACUUAGCAGUGACUUUCAAUGUCAAUUGAAUUGGGGGAAGGACAGUUUUCCCUUAAUGAAAAAAAUCAGCUUUGCAGAGGUACAAUGACCUGCCUCGAUGAAGAAAGACUACCUGGAUGCCUACAACAGAACCCAGUUUUGCACAAUAACCCCAGGCUGCAGUGUGAGG